GUCAACUUGUGAACUGCAGGACACAUGAACAUCGACAUUUCGAACGCACAUUGCGGUCCUCGGAUACUGUUCCCGGACCACUCCUGGCUGAGGGUCGUAU
rnacentral:rRNA from 3 species